UCCGGCUUAUCACCGGCAGUCCCUCUAGAGUGCCCAACUUAAUGCUGGCAACUAAAGGCAAGGGUUGCGCUCGUUGCGGGACUUAACCCAACAUCUCACGACACGAGCUGACGACAGCCAUGCAGCACCUGUGUUCGGUCCAGCCGAACUGAAGAGAUCCAUCUCUGGUUCUCGCGACCGACAUGUCAAGCCCAGGUAAGGUUCCUCGCGUAUCAUCGAAUUAAACCACAUGCUCCUCCGCUUGUGCGGGCCCCCGUCAAUUCCUUUGAGUUUCAGUCUUGCGACCGUACUCCCCAGGCGGAGUGCUUAAUGCGUUAGCUGCAGCACUAAGGGGCGGAAACCCCCUAACACUUAGCACUCAUCGUUUACGGCGUGGACUAC
rnacentral:misc_RNA from 1 species